rnacentral:sRNA from 1 species
GUAAAGAGCUGGUAGCGCAGUCCAGCGAUUAUCUGGAUGUCCAGCUGAGCCUGCGUCAGCGUUUGGCCGUGCGUACCCAUCUGGCCAUGUGCCGCAAUUGCCGGCGCUUUAUCCGCCAGAUGCGCCUGAGUCAGUUGGUUUUGCGCAGACUGCCGCAAGGGCAGAAUGCCGAACUGGAUGUUUUGGCCCAGCGCUUGGCCGAACUACGGCGUCAAUCCUCCUGAGGGAGCUGCGCUGAGUGAUUUCUCGCGCUGUUUAGAUAAUCCAAACG